ACUAAGCGUACACGGUGGAUGCCCUGGCAGUCAGAGGCGAUGAAGGACGUGCUAAUCUGCGAUAAGCGUCGGUGAGGUGAUAUGAACCGUUAUAACCGGCGAUUUCCGAAUGGGGAAACCCAGUGUGUUUCGACACACUAUCAUUAACUGAAUCCAUAGGUUAAUGAGGCGAACCGGGGGAACUGAAACAUCUAAGUACCCCGAGGAAAAGAAAUCAACCGAGAUUCCCCCAGUAGCGGCGAGCGAACGGGGAGGAGCCCAGAGCCUGAAUCAGUGUGUGUGUUAGUGGAAGCGUCUGGAAAGGCGCGCGAUACAGGGUGACAGCCCCGUACACAAAAAUGCACAUAUUGUGAGCUCGAUGAGUAGGGCGGGACACGUGGUAUCCUGUCUGAAUAUGGGGGGACCAUCCUCCAAGGCUAAAUACUCCUGACUGACCGAUAGUGAACCAGUACCGUGAGGGAAAGGCGAAAAGAACCCCGGCGAGGGGAGUGAAAAAGAACCUGAAACCGUGUACGUACAAGCAGUGGGAGCCUCUUUAUGGGGUGACUGCGUACCUUUUGUAUAAUGGGUCAGCGACUUAUAUUCUGUAGCAAGGUUAACCGAAUAGGGGAGCCGAAGGGAAACCGAGUCUUAACUGGGCGUUAAGUUGCAGGGUAUAGACCCGAAACCCGGUGAUCUAGCCAUGGGCAGGUUGAAGGUUGGGUAACACUAACUGGAGGACCGAACCGACUAAUGUUGAAAAAUUAGCGGAUGACUUGUGGCUGGGGGUGAAAGGCCAAUCAAACCGGGAGAUAGCUGGUUCUCCCCGAAAGCUAUUUAGGUAGCGCCUCGUGAAUUCAUCUCCGGGGGUAGAGCACUGUUUCGGCAAGGGGGUCAUCCCGACUUACCAACCCGAUGCAAACUGCGAAUACCGGAGAAUGUUAUCACGGGAGACACACGGCGGGUGCUAACGUCCGUCGUGAAGAGGGAAACAACCCAGACCGCCAGCUAAGGUCCCAAAGUCAUGGUUAAGUGGGAAACGAUGUGGGAAGGCCCAGACAGCCAGGAUGUUGGCUUAGAAGCAGCCAUCAUUUAAAGAAAGCGUAAUAGCUCACUGGUCGAGUCGGCCUGCGCGGAAGAUGUAACGGGGCUAAACCAUGCACCGAAGCUGCGGCAGCGACACUAUGUGUUGUUGGGUAGGGGAGCGUUCUGUAAGCCUGUGAAGGUGGCCUGUGAGGGUUGCUGGAGGUAUCAGAAGUGCGAAUGCUGACAUAAGUAACGAUAAAGCGGGUGAAAAGCCCGCUCGCCGGAAGACCAAGGGUUCCUGUCCAACGUUAAUCGGGGCAGGGUGAGUCGACCCCUAAGGCGAGGCCGAAAGGCGUAGUCGAUGGGAAACAGGUUAAUAUUCCUGUACUUGGUGUUACUGCGAAGGGGGGACGGAGAAGGCUAUGUUGGCCGGGCGACGGUUGUCCCGGUUUAAGCGUGUAGGCUGGUUUUCCAGGCAAAUCCGGAAAACCAAGGCUGAGGCGUGAUGACGAGGCACUACGGUGCUGAAGCGACAAAUGCCCUGCUUCCAGGAAAAGCCUCUAAGCAUCAGGUAACAUCAAAUCGUACCCCAAACCGACACAGGUGGUCAGGUAGAGAAUACCAAGGCGCUUGAGAGAACUCGGGUGAAGGAACUAGGCAAAAUGGUGCCGUAACUUCGGGAGAAGGCACGCUGAUAUGUAGGUGAAGCGACUUGCUCGUGGAGCUGAAAUCAGUCGAAGAUACCAGCUGGCUGCAACUGUUUAUUAAAAACACAGCACUGUGCAAACACGAAAGUGGACGUAUACGGUGUGACGCCUGCCCGGUGCCGGAAGGUUAAUUGAUGGGGUUAGCGGUAACGCGAAGCUCUUGAUCGAAGCCCCGGUAAACGGCGGCCGUAACUAUAACGGUCCUAAGGUAGCGAAAUUCCUUGUCGGGUAAGUUCCGACCUGCACGAAUGGCGUAAUGAUGGCCAGGCUGUCUCCACCCGAGACUCAGUGAAAUUGAACUCGCUGUGAAGAUGCAGUGUACCCGCGGCAAGACGGAAAGACCCCGUGAACCUUUACUAUAGCUUGACACUGAACAUUGAGCCUUGAUGUGUAGGAUAGGUGGGAGGCUUUGAAGUGUGGACGCCAGUCUGCAUGGAGCCGACCUUGAAAUACCACCCUUUAAUGUUUGAUGUUCUAACGUUGGCCCGUAAUCCGGGUUGCGGACAGUGUCUGGUGGGUAGUUUGACUGGGGCGGUCUCCUCCUAAAGAGUAACGGAGGAGCACGAAGGUUGGCUAAUCCUGGUCGGACAUCAGGAGGUUAGUGCAAUGGCAUAAGCCAGCUUGACUGCGAGCGUGACGGCGCGAGCAGGUGCGAAAGCAGGUCAUAGUGAUCCGGUGGUUCUGAAUGGAAGGGCCAUCGCUCAACGGAUAAAAGGUACUCCGGGGAUAACAGGCUGAUACCGCCCAAGAGUUCAUAUCGACGGCGGUGUUUGGCACCUCGAUGUCGGCUCAUCACAUCCUGGGGCUGAAGUAGGUCCCAAGGGUAUGGCUGUUCGCCAUUUAAAGUGGUACGCGAGCUGGGUUUAGAACGUCGUGAGACAGUUCGGUCCCUAUCUGCCGUGGGCGCUGGAGAACUGAGGGGGGCUGCUCCUAGUACGAGAGGACCGGAGUGGACGCAUCACUGGUGUUCGGGUUGUCAUGCCAAUGGCACUGCCCGGUAGCUAAAUGCGGAAGAGAUAAGUGCUGAAAGCAUCUAAGCACGAAACUUGCCCCGAGAUGAGUUCUCCCUGAGACUUAGAGUCUCCUGAAGGAACGUUGAAGACGACGACGUUGAUAGGCCGGGUGUGUAAGCGCAGCGAUGCGUUGAGCUAACCGGUACUAAUGAACCGUGAGGCUUAACC
rnacentral:rRNA from 2 species